ensembl:ncRNA ZK836.14 ncRNA
UGGGCGGCUCUUCUCUUUGAUGUGUCCUGAAGGAUCCAUGUUGGAAGAGCGCGGCGCCCCUCUCCUACACACCUCCUACUUCUUCCGCGCGCGCAAAUAACGAUCCAUCGACAACUGGUUCAAUAAAAAGUGGUAAUAAAUAAA